rnacentral:rRNA from 1 species
GCAAGUCAUUGGGUAAUUAAUUUAAUUUAUAAAAAAAAACCUAAAGGCGUAAUUAACUUAACUGUUGUGUUUUGUUAUACAAAAAUGGGAUCAUAUAAAUACAUAUAAAGUAUAUUGUAUAUAUUCAAUCCCGGGACGUUCUAUAUAGUUAUGCAUGCUUAAUUAUUUAUUUAUAUAUGUAUAUUAUAAUAUGCCUCUAACUGGAGCGUACCUUGAGCAUAUAUGUUGUGACCCGAAAGAUGGUGAACUAUACCUGAUCAGGUUGAAGUCAGGGGAAACCCUGAUGGAGGACCGAAACAGUUCUGACGUGCAAAUCGAUUGUCAGAAUUGGGUAUAGGGGCGUAAGACCAAUCGAACCAUCUAGUAGCUGGUUCCCUCCGAAGUUUCCCUCAGGAUAGCUGGUGCAUAUAAAUAUAAUUAAAAUAUAAUCUUAUCUGGUAAAGCGAAUGAUUAGAGGCCUUAGGGCCGAAACGACCUUAACCUAUUCUCAAACUUUAAAUGGGUAAGAACCUCACCUUUCUUGAAAUGAAGGUAAAUAUUAUAUAAUAAAGAGGUUUAGAUAUAUUGUGCCCAGUGGGCUACUUUUGGUAAGCAGAACUGGCGCUGUGGGAUGAACCAAACGUGAUGUUAAGGCGCCCAAAUUAACAACUCAUACUGAUACCAUGAAAGGCGUUGCUUGCUUAAAACAGCAGGACGGUGGACAUGGAAGUCGUAAACCGCUAAGGAGUGUGUAACAACUCACCUGCCGAAGCAACUAGCCCUUAAAAUGGAUGGCGCUCAAGUUGUAUGCCUAUACAUCACCGCUAAAAUAUAUGAUUUAUAUUAUUUAUAUAAAAGAUUAAUAUCAAUUUUGAAAUUUUAGUGAGUAGGAGGGUACAAUGGUGUGCGUUGAAGUAUUUGGCGUAAGCCUGUAUGGAGCCGCCAUUGGUACAGAUCUUGGUGGUAGUAGCAAAUAAUCGAAUGAGACCUUGGAGGACUGAAGUGGAGAAGGGUUUCGUGUGAACAGUGGUUGAUCACGAGUUAGUCGGUCCUAAGUUCAAAGCGAAAGCUGAAUAUUUUAAGUAUAAAUAUAAAAGAAAAUAUAUUAAUUAAAGAAAUGAAAGAAAAAAUAUAUAAUAUGUAUGUACAUAUCUUACUAUAUAUUAUUAUAACAUCUAACUAUAUAUACAACAAAGAAAAUAAAUUAAAAUUAAAGUUAUAAUUAUAAUAUGAUUGUUGAUAGAUAUAUAUAUAUAUAUAAACUAAGAUAUUAUUUAAAUAUAUAAAAUAAAAAGAAAUGUAUAUAUGUGUAUAUAUAAUUUUUAAUAAUAUUUUUCAAAAAAAAAAAUAUAACACUUUUUAUAAAUAUUAUUGAACGAAAGGGAAUACGGUUCCAAUUCCGUAACCUGUUAAGUAUACGUUUGUUAUUAAAAAUGGGCUAUAUUAAAAUAUUUUAUUAUAAAUAUAUAAUGUGUGUGUAAUAUUAAUAUUUUAAUGCUCAUCCUGGCAACAGAAACAACCAUAAAGAAGCCGUCGAGAAAUAUCGAAAGAGUUUUCUUUUCUGUUUUAUAGUCGUACUACCAUGGAAGUCUUUCGAAGAGAGAUAUGGUAGAUGGGCUAGAAGAGCAUGGCAUUUACUGCUGUGUCGAUAUUCUCUCCUCGGACCUUGAAAAUUUAUGGUGGGGUAACGCAAACUUCUUAACAGGCCGUACCGAUAUCCGCAGCUGUC